AGCCGACUAGCUCAGUUAGUUAGAGCUUCGUUCUAAUAUAAGGCAUAAAUGACAUGACUUGUAUUACGCGAGGGUCUUGAGUUCGAUCCCCACGCUGGCCU